UAAGGUUUCGCGAUGCGAAUCGUCGCGCGUCCCUAGCCGCGACACGUGUCUACCGUUCGAGGCUUCGAUAAACGUGUACCCUGGUCCGUUGUCGCGCGACCACGUUCCAACGAUCUCGAGAUUUUACGCCGAACGGUAUUUACAACGAAAAGAACAGGAUACACCGCGAUUCACCGAACGAACGAACGACAGCGUGCCGUGUUGUAUCCGGCUGCCAUCGCGAGAGUAGGCCAACGAAAUGCGCGCAGGAAGAUGCGAGUGUCCACUCACCUGGAAGUGAAGUAUGAUGGUCCAUAUCAAACCUAGAGUCAACUUUGGGUUUCCAUCGACAAUGUCUUCAGCACGAAUAUUAACGAGCUUGAUCUUCUUGUAGCGCAAAAAGUCAAGAGCCAUUUGUACGUUCUGCAGCAUGUGGAAACGCAUCCGACCUCUCUCUCGCGGCUAAAAAACAAUAAAUUGAAUUAAUCGUA